UGAGGAAUAUUGGUCAAUGGGCGCAAGCCUGAACCAGCCAAGUCGCGUGAGGGAAGACGGUCCUAUGGAUUGUAAACCUCUUUUUGUCGGGGGAGCAAAGCGCGGUACGAGUACCGCGAAGGAGAGUACCCGAAGAAAAAGCAUCGGCUAACUCCGUGCC
rnacentral:rRNA from 1 species